UGGCGAACUAUAUUUCAGUGCUCUUCUAUAUUAUUUGAAUGAAAAUAUUUGUCGAUAGUUUAAAUAACAUGAUAGUAUUUUGUGUGGAAGGAAGUGGUUUUGCUUCUAAAAUUAAUAUUAAGCCAAUUUUGUACAGAGACUUGGGAUUCACCUGAAAACGCGCGUUCCUACGACCUUCAGAGUUGGUAAUAACAUAUCCUCGACAUUUGAGAACAGGAAACCAAAAAAUUCUGCUGAGGCGCCGAUAACAAGAACUGUGUGGGACCCACUUCCAGCCACCGUUUAUGCAAACUUUUUUACAAAUAUAUCAACUUUCUUGAUUGAAAAUUGAUAGAAGACUGAAUCAUCACUAUAAGAUACAAAUGUUGCACGAAAGGUGAGGCAGUGCUAAGAUGCAUUCUCUACCAGACAACCUUAAGGAUUUAAAAUGACUGACUGUGCAAAAAGUAAAAAACUUUAUGUAUUAUUCAGUAGCCAAUGAAGAUGUUAAAAAUAAUAGCCAAUACCAUUAUUUCGAAUAAUAUGAAAUAAAAAAAACGUGGUUUCAAAAAUAAAUGCUUAAUUGUAUAUAUGUAAUAUUGCGAUAACUGAUGAUAUAUUAAUAUUUAUAUAUUGAUUUUUAUGUCAUAUAUUUUCAAACAAUGAAUAUGAAUAAAAUGUUGCAAAUUACUGUCAUGGCUGACAUAGAAGUCAUGUUAGGUAUGGCAACACUAUCAAUUUAA